GCAUGCGGUGUCAGCGCUGGUGUCCAGCCGAGCGCUAGCUAACGGUACCAGCCGCUCCAGUGCGCAACGAGCAUUCGAGCAGUUUGGUUUGUAAACGAAAAAACGGCGUGUAAAUGUGUUGUUGCCGUUGAAAUAUCUGUCUUGUAAAUGAAGCAAAAGAAAAAGGCGCAGCAGCGCAACGCGGCGUUAAACAGUUAAAAACUUGAUACAAAAAAAAACCAACAACAAUAAAGUUACAACAAAGUAAUAAGAAAUUGGUGAAGAAAGGUGGAAGUAAAUAUUUAAACGUUUAAACAGUUCUAACUAAAGAAAUAAAGAAACACAAAAUUCCAAAACGUGAAUACUUUCGACAAAACAAGAAAAAUGUUAACUAAAUCUAUAAUGCUAAUUAAAUGUCAGUAAAAAGAAUUAUACAUUUCUGAAAAUUAUAAUAAGUAAAAAUUGAAGAAAUGUGUAUGUAUUUAUAAAAUAUGAUUUGGUGAUAUAAUGUUUUAUAAAAUAUAUAAAGUGUAUAAGUUAUGUUUAAAAGUGAAAAAUUAUUGAAAUUAAAAAAAAUGCAAUUAAGUGCUCGUUAAGUGCGCAUUAGAGUGAGACGGCAAAUAUUGCAGUUAUUGUGCAAAAUUAGCAAAGAAUAACGAAAAUGCGCUUUUGCUAAAGAAAUUUCAAAUAUUUUGAGAAUUAACCGUUUAAAUUAAAAAAUUAAAUAAUUUAAAAUGGUUUGGGAAACAAAAAGUGCUACAAAAUUAUCAACGAAUGUCAAUGACUAAUAUAUAAAAAAUAAUAAAUUAAAGAGAAAACGAUAAUU